CCUGGGUGGCUGCAGUGGGGAAUAUUGGACAAUGGGCGAAAGCCUGAUCCAGCCAUGCCGCGUGUGUGAAGAAGGCCUUCGGGUUGUAAAGCACUUUCAGUGGGGAAGAAAGCCUUGGGGCUAAUACCCUCGAGGAAGGACAUCACCCACAGAAGAAGCACCGGCUAACUCCGUGCCAGCAGCCGCGGUAAUACGGAGGGUGCGAGCGUUAAUCGGAAUUACUGGGCGUAAAGCGCGCGUAGGCGGUCUGAUAAGCCGGUUGUGAAAGCCCCGGGCUCAACCUGGGAACGGCAUCCGGAACUGUCAGGCUAGAGUGCAGGAGAGGAAGGUAGAAUUCCCGGUGUAGCGGUGAAAUGCGUAGAGAUCGGGAGGAAUACCAGUGGCGAAGGCGGCCUUCUGGACUGACACUGACGCUGAGGUGCGAAAGCGUGGGUAGCAAACAGGAUUAGAUACCCCGGUAGUC
rnacentral:rRNA from 1 species